AUGUUUAAAUUCUGCAACUACAAUGUUUUGUAAAACCGCGCAUUUCCAGCAUGCGAUAGGCAUAGGCCAGUUCAGCUCACAUGUUAAAGUUACGCAUUUAAUUUUGUAUGAUUGCUUAUGGUUUUGAUAUUUUGUCAAAUUCUUAUUAUGCUUUUGUAAUUUGUAGUUUUUCACCCUCUCACAAGGUGUGUCCAAUAAACAGUACAGUCACUGAUCUUUGUCAACUUUUUAAGAAAAUAACAGAAUAUGAAGAAGGAAAACUGUAUAUAGGAUCGAUCUACUUCAUAACUGGAAAAAGAGAAGCAGUUCACAAAUGUUGAUGAGCAGAAGACAAGAAACUCUGGCUGCACAAAAAUCUGAGCUCUUGAAAAAGAAAGAAAAAAAGAAAUGAAAAUAUGAAUGAUAUUCAAUCAAAGGAUCCAAAUGAUGAAAUUCUGGAAAUUCCACAUGGAGAGACAAUAAGGAUUUUUGAAUUGACCAUCUCUGCUCAAACUGCUUGAAAGCACUGAAAACUGUUACCCUGGUGCUGAACAAACUUUUCUCCUAGACUGGAAUUAAAAACUGUUCAAUUUCUGGCAUUAAAACACAAUUUGAAACAUGCUGAGGAAGGAUCCCCCUCUCCUUUUUACCAAGUAAGGUUAAACAUUCUGCAAAGAGUUGCAUUUGAAUUGAAAUUUUUUAUACUUUUACCAGGAAUGAACUAGAUUACUCAUUUACUAUGGUUUAAUGUGUCAGAAUUGUCGAUUUUAAGUUUUUUAACAAAGAUUUUGUUGCCAUGGUUGGAAAACAAACAACAUUUCUGUGAAAUCUUUCAAGAUGCUGUAUUAUAAAUCAUCUACUGUUACUUUUUUAGCAUGACUUCAUGCAUUUUCAUGAAUAAACAUGAAUAAUAAUA